CCUACGGGUGGCAGCAGUGGGGAAUAUUGCACAAUGGGGGAAACCCUGAUGCAGCGACGCCGCGUGAGUGAAGACGUAUUUCGGUAUGGAAAGCUCUAUCUGCAGGGAAGUAAAAACACGGUACCUGACUAAGAAGCCCCUGCUAACUACGUGCCAGCAGCCGCGGUAAUACGGAGGGGGCAAGCGUUAUCCGGAUUUACUGGGUGUAAAGGGAGCGUAGGCGGCGCGACAAGUCUGAAGUGAAAGGCAGGGGCUUAACCCCUGAACUGCUUUGGAAACUGCCAUGCUAGAGUGCUGGAGAGGUAAGUGGAAUUCAUAGUGUAGCGGUGAAAUGCGUAGAGAUUAGGAGGAACACCAGUGGCGAAGGCAGCUUACUGGACAGUAACUGACGUUGAGGCUCGAAAGCGUGGGGAGCAAACAGGAUUAGAUACCCGGGUAGUC
rnacentral:rRNA from 1 species